rnacentral:tRNA from 1 species
CAGGGAGACAACAAAAUGUUAAAAUAUUAAUUUUGUCACCUUAGGUCGAUCGGUAUCUCAGGUUCUUAAUUACUUUAAGAAUUUCAUUUCCUAAGUUUUUUCUAGGUCACACCCAUUACUUUCCCUGGGCCAUUAGCUCAGGUGGUUAGAGCGCACCCCUGAUAAGGGUGAGGUCCCUGGUUCAAGUCCAGGAUGGCCCAUAUCUCUAUGUUGGGGGUAUAGCUCAGUUGGUAGAGCGCCUGCUUUGCAAGCAGGAUGUCAGCGGUUCGAGUCCGCUUACCUCCACUGAUUACCACCUCUUCCAUAAAUUUAAAGAAGGGAAUAGUUAUGAGCGUUGAUUUACUUCUGAACGAAUCUAGCUUCCUAAUAAAUACAUUAAGAUGCUGGACUCAUUGAAUUUUAUUCAUUGUUUUCAGAGAACCUUGACAACUGCAUAGAUUAUUUUUAAAGACAAUAAGCAUCUUUAAUGAUGCAGAUUUAUUAUUUGUGCUAAUGCAUUAAUAACAAUUCUAUUGAGCUGAUGCUUCAAUUAUUUGAAGUUAUU